AACGCACCUUGCGCUCCUUGGUAUUCCGAGGAGCAUGCCUGUUUGAGUGUCAUUAAAUUCUCAACCAUUUCAGUUUUUAUAAGCUGGAUUGGCUUGGAUGUGGAGGUCUGCGGGCUUCUUAAGAAGUCGGCUCCUCUUAAAUGCAUUAGUGGAACCUUUGUGAACCAGCUUUGGUGUGAUAAUUAUCUACGCCAUAGUUGUGAAGUAACUUUAUAUGGGGUUCAGCUUCUAACAGUCCAUUGACUUGGACAAUUUAUUGACAUUUUUGACCUCAAAUCAGGUAGGAUUACCCGCUGAACUUAA
rnacentral:misc_RNA from 1 species